GACGAACGCUGGCGGCGUGCUUAACACAUGCGAGUCGAACGGAAAGGCCCUGCUUUUGUGGGGUUCUCGAGUGGCGAACGCGUGAGUAACACGUGAGUAACCUGCCCUUGACUUUGGGAUAACUUCAGGAAACUAGGGCUACUACCGGAUCGCAUCUCCUGCUGCAUGGUGGGGGUUGGAACGUUUCGGCGGUUGGGGAUGGACUCGCGGGUUAUCAGCUUGUUGGUGGGGUAGUGGCUUACCAAGGCUUUGACGGGUAGCCGGCCUGAGAGGGUGACCGGCGACAUUGGGACUGAGAGACGGAGCAGACUCGUACGGGAGGCAGUAGUGGGGAAUAUUGCCCAAUGGGCGGAAGCCUGAUGCAGAAACGCCGCGUGCGGGAUGACGGCCUUCGGGGUGUAAACCGCUUUCGCCUGUGACGAAGCGGGAGUGACGGUAAUGGGUAAAGAAGCACCGGCUAACUACGUG
rnacentral:rRNA from 1 species